UACGAAGGGGGCUAGCGUUGCUCGGAAUUACUGGGCGUAAAGCGCACGUAGGCGGCUCUUUAAGUCGGGGGUGAAAUCCUGGAGCUCAACUCCAGAACUGCCUUCGAUACUGUAGAGCUUGAGUUCGGGAGAGGUGAGUGGAACUCCGAGUGUAGAGGUGAAAUUCGUAGAUAUUCGGAAGAACACCAGUGGCGAAGGCGGCUCACUGGACCGGCAUUGACGCUGAGGUGCGAAAGCGUGGGGAGCAAACAGG
rnacentral:rRNA from 1 species